rnacentral:rRNA from 1 species
UGCAAGUCGAACGCGUUGGCCCAAUUGAUUGAUGGUGCUUGCACCUGAUUGAUUUUGGUCGCCAACGAGUGGCGGACGGGUGAGUAACACGUAGGUAACCUGCCCAGAAGCGGGGGACAACAUUUGGAAACAGAUGCUAAUACCGCAUAACAGCGUUGUUCGCAUGAACAACGCUUAAAAGAUGGCUUCUCGCUAUCACUUCUGGAUGGACCUGCGGUGCAUUAGCUUGUUGGUGGGGUAACGGCCUACCAAGGCGAUGAUGCAUAGCCGAGUUGAGAGACUGAUCGGCCACAAUGGGACUGAGACACGGCCCAUACUCCUACGGGAGGCAGCAGUAGGGAAUCUUCCACAAUGGGCGCAAGCCUGAUGGAGCAACACCGCGUGAGUGAAGAAGGGUUUCGGCUCGUAAAGCUCUGUUGUUAAAGAAGAACACGUAUGAGAGUAACUGUUCAUACGUUGACGGUAUUUAACCAGAAAGUCACGGCUAACUACGUGCCAGCAGCCGCGGUAAUACGUAGGUGGCAAGCGUUAUCCGGAUUUAUUGGGCGUAAAGAGAGUGCAGGCGGUUUUCUAAGUCUGAUGUGAAAGCCUUCGGCUUAACCGGAGAAGUGCAUCGGAAACUGGAUAACUUGAGUGCAGAAGAGGGUAGUGGAACUCCAUGUGUAGCGGUGGAAUGCGUAGAUAUAUGGAAGAACACCAGUGGCGAAGGGCGGCUACCUGGUCUGCAACUGACGCUGAGACUCGAAAGCAUGGGUAGCGAACAGGAUUAGAUACCCUGGUAGUCCAUGCCGUAAACGAUGAGUGCUAGGUGUUGGAGGGUUUCCGCCCUUCAGUGCCGGAGCUAACGCAUUAAGCACUCCGCCUGGGGAGUACGACCGCAAGGUUGAAACUCAAAGGAAUUGACGGGGGCCCGCACAAGCGGUGGAGCAUGUGGUUUAAUUCGAAGCUACGCGAAGAACCUUACCAGGUCUUGACAUCUUGCGCCAACCCUAGAGAUAGGGCGUUUCCUUCGGGAACGCAAUGACAGGUGGUGCAUGGUCGUCGUCAGCUCGUGUCGUGAGAUGUUGGGUUAAGUCCCGCAACGAGCGCAACCCUUGUUACUAGUUGCCAGCAUUAAGUUGGGCACUCUAGUGAGACUGCCGGUGACAAACCGGAGGAAGGUGGGGACGACGUCAGAUCAUCAUGCCCCUUAUGACCUGGGCUACACACGUGCUACAAUGGACGGUACAACGAGUCGCGAACUCGCGAGGGCAAGCAAAUCUCUUAAAACCGUUCUCAGUUCGGACUGCAGGCUGCAACUCGCCUGCACGAAGUCGGAAUCGCUAGUAAUCGCGGAUCAGCAUGCCGCGGUGAAUACGUUCCCGGGCCUUGUACACACCGCCCGUCACACCAUGAGAGUUUGUAACACCCAAAGUCGGUGGGGUAACCUUUUAGGAGCCAGCCGCCU